CAUACUGUACUGAAUGCUGAAGACCUGCAGCAGAUGUAAAUCCCAAGUCUUGUUAUAGUUUUCAAGAUUGUGAAAUUAUCAAAAUGCAUAUGAAUCAAGUUUUAAUACACUGGGUGGAUGAGGCUGUCCAUUGCACCAUUUCUUUCUUUGGGUUCUCAGGCAUGGUUCCGACAGUGUAUGAACUCUGUAACAUUUAACCCUGAAUAAACAGUAAACCUAUGGGAAAAAAAACACUUUAUAUUCAUAGGUUCAUUUCCUGAGUACUUUCAUGUCCUCAAAGACAACUGUGAUAUGCAAAGGCUUUAACAGGCUGAGUACAUUCAUAACGUUACUCUCCAGUAUGUGUUCCUUUGUAUUUGAAGAUAACUGUGAUGUUGAAAGGCUUUAUACUACAUUGAUUACAUUUGUAUCAUUUUCCUUCAGUGUGUUCUUUUGUAUAUUUGCAGAUAAUUGUGAUAUGCAAUGCUUUACCACAUUGAUUAUAUCAUAGUGUUUCUCUCCAAUAUGAAUUCUUUCAAGAAUGUAAAGACUACUAUGACAUGCAAAGGCUUUACCACGUUAACUACAUUAGUGUUUCUCUGAAGUAUGAAUCUGAAGACUACUGUGAUAUGAAAAGGGUUUUCUACAUUGACUAUGUUCAUAGGGUUUCUCUUCAGUAUGAAUUCUUUCAUGAUGCUGAAGAUUAUUGUUAUGUGCAAAGGUUUUACCACACUGAUUAGAUUCAUAGGGUUUCUCUUCAGUAUGUGUUCUUUCAUGUUUUCGAAGAUAUCUGAGAUGUGCAAAGGCUUUACCACACUGAUUACAUUCAUAGGGUUUCUCUCCAGUAUGGACUAUUUCAUGCUUUUUAAGACUACUGCUAUAUGCAAAGGCUCUACCACACUGAUUACAUUCAUAGGGUUUCUCUCCAGUAUGGAUUCUUCCAUGAACUUGAAGAUGAAUCUGUUGUGCAAAGGCUUUACCACACUGAUUACAUUUAUAGGGUUUCUCUCCAGUAUGUGUUCUUUCAUGUUUCUGGAGAUAACUCUGAUGUGCAAAGGCUCUACCACAUUGCUUACAUUCAUAGGGUUUCUCUGCAGUAUGGACUAUCUCAUGUAUUUGAAGACUACUGUUAUAUGCAAAGGCUCUGCCGCACUGAUUACAUUCAUAGGGUUUCUCUGCAGUAUGGAUUAUUUCAUGUAUCUGAAGACUACUGCUAUAAGCAAAGGCUCUGCCACACUGAUUACAUUCAUAGGGUUUCUCUCCAGUAUGAG
rnacentral:lncRNA from 1 species